UGGGGAAUAUUGCACAAUGGGCGCAAGCCUGAUGCAGCCAUGCCGCGUGUAUGAAGAAGGCCUUCGGGUUGUAAAGUACUUUCAGCGGGGAGGAAGGGAGUAAAGUUAAUACCUUUGCUCAUUGACGUUACCCGCAGAAGAAGCACCGGCUAACUCCGUGCCAGCAGCCGCGGUAAUACGGAGGGUGCAAGCGUUAAUCGGAAUUACUGGGCGUAAAGCGCACGCAGGCGGUUUGUUAAGUCAGAUGUGAAAUCCCCGGGCUCAACCUGGGAACUGCAUCUGAUACUGGCAGUCUUUAGUCUCGUAGAGUGGGUGGGAGUUCCGGGUGUAGCGGUGAGAUGCGUAUAGAUCUGGAAGGAUACCGGUGGCGAAGGCGGCCCCCUGGACGAAGACUGACGCUCAGGUGCGAAAGCGUGGGGAGCAAACAGG
rnacentral:rRNA from 1 species